rnacentral:rRNA from 1 species
UACGGAGGAUGCAAGCGUUAUCCGGAAUGAUUGGGCGUAAAGCGUCCGCAGGGGGUUGUGUGUGUCUAUUGUCAAAGCAUCAUGCUUAACAUGAUAAAGGCAGUAGAAACUACACGACUAGAGUGCGUUCUGGGCAGAGAGAAUUCCUGGUGUAGCGGUGAAAUGCGUAGAGAUCAGGAAGAACACCGGUGGCGAAAGCGCUCUGCUAGGCCGCAACUGACACUUAGGGACGACAGCUAGGGGUUCUAAUGGG